UCUAAUAUGGCAGAAUAGUGCAUUAGACUUAAGCUCUAAAUAUAAAGAAAUAACCCUUUUAUUAGAA
rnacentral:tRNA from 1 species